GAUGAACGCUGGCGGCGUGCCUAAUACAUGCAAGUCGAGCGAACAGACGAGACGCUUGCUUCUCUGACGUUAGCGGCGGACGGGUGAGUAACACGUGGAUAACCUACCUAUAAGACUGGGAUAACUUCGGGAAACCGUAGCUAAUUCCGGAUAAUGUCUUGAACCGCAUGGUUCAAUAGUGAAAGACGGUCUUGCUGUCACUUAUAGAUGGAUCCGCGCUGCAUUAGCUAGUUGGUAAGGUAACGGCUUACCAAGGCAACGAUGCGUAGCCGACCUGAGAGGGUGAUCGGCCACACUGGAACUGAGACGCGGUCCAGACUCCUACGGGAGGCAGCAGUAGGGAAUCUUCCGCAAUGGGCGAAAGCUUGACGGAGCAACGCCGCGUGAGUGAUGAAGGUCUUCGGAUCGUAAAACUCUGUUAUUAGGGAAGAACAGAUGUGUAAGUAACUGUGCACAUCUUGACGGUACCUAAUCAGAAAGCCACGGCUAACUACGUG
rnacentral:rRNA from 1 species